rnacentral:rRNA from 1 species
CCUGUUUAUCAAAAACAUGGCCUUUUGAUUUAUGUGUAAUAUAAAAGGUUGGACCUGCCCAGUGGUUUAUCUAAAUGGCUGCAGUGAAUAACUGUACAAAGGUAGCGAAAUCAGUUGUCCUUUAAAUGGGGGAAGGUAUGAAAGGUUUGACGGUAAAGAAGCUGUCUCUUAAAAAUAGUGUGAAGUUUCCGUCUAAGUGAAAAGGCUUAGAUUUUUUAAAAAGACGAGAAGACCCUAUUGAGCUUAAUUAUAUUUUUUUUAUUAAGAAAGUUGAAGUUUUAUUGGGGCAAUAGGAAGCUAUAAGUAAUGCUUCUUUUUAAGGUAAGGAUCCUCCAUGGGAGAAGUAAGCAAAAGUUACCAUAGGGAUAACAGCGUUAUCUUUCUUAAGAGUUCUAAUUGAGGGAAAGGUUUGCGACCUCGAUGUUGGAUUAAGAUGUCUUUUUGGUGCAGCAGCUAAAAAAGUAAGACUGUUCGUCUUUUAAAAUUUUACGUGAUCUGAGUUCAGACG